rnacentral:rRNA from 1 species
GACGAACGCUGGCGGCGUGCUUAACACAUGCAAGUCGAACGGCAGCAUCGUGCUUUUGUGCUAUGCUCGAGUGGCGACCGGGUGAGGAACCCGAGAGUAAACUGACCUUGACUCUGGGAUAACUUCAGGAAACCGGGGGUAAUACCGGUAAGGAGUUCCUGCGGCAUGGUGGGGGUUGGAAAGUUGCGGCGGAUUGGGAUGUACUCGCGGCUUAUCAGCCUGUUGGUAGGGUAGUGGGUUACCAAGGGUCUGAGGGGUAGCCGGCCUGAGAGGGUGACCGGGCACAUGAGUACUGAGCUACGGCCCAGACUCGUACGGGAGGCAGCAGAAGGGAAUAUUGCACAAUGGGGCGAAGUCGGAUGAAGCAUCGCUGUGUGCUGGAUGAUGGCCUUCUUGUUGUAAACCGUUUUCGCCGGUGAGGAAGCCUGCGUGACGGUACCGGAUAAAGAAGCACCGGCUAACUACGUG